AAAAAAGGCAGAUUUAAACCUGUGUUGUGAUAAUUGUGAUGUUUGCUCUAUAACAUAUAUACAUGAACCUUGAGACUGUGAUAUAUAAUCAUGGACGGAGACACAUUUAGAAAGAUCCUGUCGUACUGCAUUUUAUUAUUGAAUACAAAGAAAAACAAGACACGUGUAUAAAUGCAUUGCUUCAAAACUACUCUUAGUAGCCUCAGUAAGAAGACACUUAUCCACAGCAAAAUAUUACAACCCCCUUUUUUUAAAGAAACAUAGCAUUUGAAAUAAAUACGUUUGGAUGAUAACAUCUUGCUGAUUGCAUUGGGGGCAAUGCACUUUCACACUAUUUACAGUUUAAAUCUGACUAAAUAAUCAUCACCGUCUCACAGACCCUCAGUGCUCACAGAAACUGUUGCCCUUUACAUUCAAACCUCAUCCCUUCAUCGUCACAUUCUAUUUUUAAAUGUGCUUUUGUCAAGGAACCAAAAGUGAAAACUACACAUUUUUCCCAUUACCAGAAUGUACAGUGUACUGUAUACUGUAUAAAGACAGGACAAUGUACCAGAUAUAACUUGGUGUCAAACAGAAUAUGAAUGUGACCAACAUGUCCCUCUUGAAGGUGACAUAAAGUAGACUAUACAGGUUACAUAAAGUAGACUAUACAGGUUACAUAGAGUAGACUAUACAGGUUACAUAGAGUAGACUGUACAGGUUACAUAAAGUAGACUAUACAGGUUACAUAGAUUAGAUUAUACAGGUUACAUAAAGUAGACUAUACAGGUUACAUAAAGUAGACUAUACAGGUUACAUAGAGUAGACUAUACAGGUUACAUAGAGUAGACUGUACAGGUUACAUAAAGUAGACUAUACAGGUUACAUAGAGUAGACUAUACAGGCUACAUAAAGUAGACUAUACAGGUUACAUAAAGUAGACUAUACAGGUUACAUAGAGUAGACUAUACAGGUUACAUAAAGUAGACUAUACAGGUUACAUAGAGUAGACUAGACAGGUUACAUAAAGUAGACUAUACAGGCUACAUAAAGUAGACUAUACAGGUUACAUAAAGUAGACUGUACAGGUUACAUAAAGUAGACUAUACAGGCUACAUAGAGUAGACUAGACAGGUCACAUAAAGUAGACUAUACAGGUUAAAUAAAGUAGACUAUAGAGGUCACAUGAAGUAGACUAUAGAGGUCACAUAAAGUAGACUAUACAGGCUACAUAAAGUAGACUAUACAGGUUACAUAAAGUAGACUAUACAGGUUACAUAAAGUAGACUAUAGAGGUCACAUAAAGUAGACUAUAGAGGUCACAUAAAGUAGACUAUACAGGCUACAUAAAGUAGACUAUACAGGUUACAUAGAGUAGACUAUACAGGUUACAUAAAGUAGACUAUACAGGCUACAUAAAGUAGACUAUACAGGUUACAUAGAGUAGACUGUACAGGUUACAUAAAAUAGACUAUACAGGUUACAUAAAGUAGACUAUACAGGUUACAUAGAGUAGACUAUAGAGGUCACAUAAAGUAGACUAUACAGGUUAAAUAAAGUAGACUAUAGAGGUCACAUAAAGUAGACUAUACAGGUUACAUAAAGUAGACUAUACAGGCUACAUAAAGUAGACUAUACAGGUUACAUAGAGUAGACUGUACAGGCUACAUAAAGUAGACUAUACAGGUUACAUAGAGUAGACUAUACAGGUUACAUAAAGUAGACUAUGCAGGCUACAUAAAGUAGACUAUACAGGUUACAUAGAGUAGACUAUACAGGUUACAUAAAGUAGACUAUAGAGGUCACAUAAAGUAGACUGUACAGGUUACAUAAAAUAGACUAUACAGGCUACAUAGAUUAGAUUAUACAGGUUACAUAAAGUAGACUAUACAGGUUACAUAAAGUAGACUAUAGAGGUCACAUAAAGUAGACUAUAGAGGUCACAUAAAGUAGACUAUACAGGCUACAUAAAGUAGACUAUACAGGUUACAUAGAUUAGAUUAUACAGGUUACAUAAAGUAGACUAUACAGGUUACAUAAAGUAGACUAUACAGGUUACAUAAAGUAGACUAUAGAGGUCACAUAAAGUAGACUAUACAGGUUACAUAAAGUAGACUAUACAGGUUACAUAAAGUAGACUAUACAGGUUACAUAGAUUAGAUUAUACAGGUUACAUAAAGUAGACUAUACAGGUUACAUAAAGUAGACUAUACAGGUUACAUAAAGUAGACUAUACAGGUUACAUAGAGUAGACUAUACAGGUUACAUAGAGUAGACUGUACAGGUUACAUAAAGUAGACUAUACAGGUUACAUAGAGUAGACUAUACAGGCUACAUAAAGUAGACUGUACAGGUUACAUAAAGUAGACUAUACAGGUUACAUAAAGUAGACUAUACAGGUUACAUAGAGUAGACUAUACAGGUUACAUAGAGUAGACUAUACAGGUUACAUAAAGUAGACUAUACAGGUUACAUAAAGUAGACUAUACAGGUUACAUAAAGUAGACUAUACAGGUUACAUAAAGUAGACUAUACAGGUUA
ensembl:lncRNA